AAAUAUUCAAUAAACUAUUCUAUUUUCUUAUAAAACAAUAUUUAUAGAGUUACCGGUAAAUAAUUUUUGUAGCGUAAAAGCUAAAUAAAUUCAUACAUACUGUAAUACAGAUAACCAAAGCAUAAGAUUUAAUUUACAGUGACACGUGGGCCCACGAACUACCAAAGGUAUCAAAAGCGGUAAACCUAGAGUUUUUGAAGAUGCAAGUCCAACUGUAGCCCUCAAUAAAGUGAGCUAUCUACCGACUAUCCUGAGCCUGAAAUGGGUGGAAAAGAGGGUGAUGAGAUUAUAUAAUCCCAGUAAGUAAACAAAUACCAUCUAAAAUAUCCAAAGCCGAGUAAUAAAGAUAGAUAAAAUAGAUAAGCAUAAAAAUGAUUCUCAGCAUUUCGAACUCAUUUUAAUAAGAUAAAAUAGAUUCAUUUCACCAAAAUAAACAACAAGGCUUAUGAUUUCCUGAAAAAUUUGGCUCGCGCCAAAAUCAUUCUCAUACUUAGUUAUCAAAGAUACCUUGGCAAAGGGCUAUCCCAAACCGAGUCCGCCAAGGCUGUUAAAAAGUCAUGUACGCAUAAAUCAUGUUUUUAUUUUGAAACAUAGUCGUUCCUUGGCCUUGGCUGAGUUCACCCUUAUGUGGUGGUUUAGCGUGAAGUGAACUCUAAAGUGUUAACCUCAAGAGUUAUCCAUCCACGCCUCUCAUACUGAGGUAAGAAUACAAUAGGGUUACCGUGCCCUUUUAAUAGGCUAGUCCACAGAACCCGUCCACUGUAGCAACCAAUUUAUAACCCACCAAUUCAAUAAAAUUCAACAGCAUGACAUGACAAUUAUUUUAUUUUACAGCCUCUCAAGGCAAAUCAACAGUUCAUACUUUUUCAGCACAUUUACCAAUUCAGCCAUUCAUGCCAAUAUUAUCAUAAGCCUUUCAAUUCAAAUCAUGAUUUAUAACACAGCAAUUAGUCUCCAAUUACUCCAUUUUCAAAACCAUCUUUCAAUUUCAAGACAAUUUUAUAAAAUCAUUUCAUUUAAACACAUUUUCCAUAAAAUUACAAAAUCGGAUAAAAACAUACUUUAGAUAAUUAAGACGAUAAUAAGGUUACUCACUAUAUUAGGAGUUUGAAUUUUUUUGGAGUACUCCGACUAUUGAUCCUCAAGUGCAAUUUCUUUGCCCUUUUUCGGAGGAUUCACCAUCUAGACAUAAUGCAAAAUCAAGCAAUUUACCACAUUGGUGCUAAACCGUUAUAAAACUAAUUCAGGCUCUAUACUAAUGCAUGAAAUGAGAUGUAAAUUGUUCGGAUUAUCGUCUAAACAUGGUGUUCUACACAAAUUCAAUUGUGUACCUAAAUAAAACGGUAUUGGCCUAAUUUCAAUCUAUCACUCGAUUAAUUGCCCAAUAUAUCCAAUUUAACUCCAAUAAUUCCAUUUUUC
rnacentral:lncRNA from 1 species